rnacentral:rRNA from 1 species
AAUGCGCUGUCACCAUGCAAGUCGAACGGAGAAUUCAGCAAUGAAUUCUUAGUGGCGAACGGGUGAGUAACGCGUAGACAACCUACCUUCUAGAUGGGGACAACACUGCGAAAGUGGUGCUAAUACCGAAUGUUGUAUCGAUGAUGCAUAUUAUUGAUACUAAAGAUGGCCUCUGUAUAUGCUAUCGCUAGAAGAUGGGUCUGCGUCUGAUUAGCUAGUUGGUGAGGUAAUGGCUCACCAAGGCGACGAUCAGUAGCCGGUCUGAGAGGAUGAACGGCCACACUGGGACUGAGACACGGCCCAGACUCCUACGGGAGGCAGCAGUGGGGAAUCUUCCGCAAUGAACGAAAGUCUGACGGAGCAACGCCGCGUGAGUGAAGAAGGUUUUCGGAUCGUAAAACUCUGUUUUCAGGGACGAAUGUGCAGCUUGUAAAUAAUGAGUUGUAAUGACGGUACCUGAGUAGAAAGCCACGGCUAACUACGUGCCAGCAGCCGCGGUAAUACGUAGGUGGCAAGCGUUGUCCGGAAUUAUUGGGCGUAAAGCGCGCGCAGGUGGGAUAUUAAGUCUGGUGUUAAAGUUCGGGGCUCAACCCCGUGAAGCAUUUGGAAACUGAUAUUCUUGAGUGCAGGAGAGGAAAGUGGAAUUCCUAGUGUAGCGGUGAAAUGCGUAGAUAUUAGGAGGAACACCAGUGGCGAAGGCGACUUUCUGGACUGUGUCCGACACUGACGCGCGAAAGCUAGGGUAGUGAACAGGAUUAGAUACCCUGGUAAUCCUAGCUGUAAACGAUGGGUACUAGGUGUAGGGGGGUAUCGACCCCUCCUGU